AUCCUGGCUCAGGACGAACGCUGGCGGCGUGCUUAACACAUGCAAGUCGAGGGGGCCCAGCAAUGGGUCACCGGCGAACGGGUGCGUAACACGUGAGCAACCUGCCACAGAGUGGGGGAUAGCCGGCCCAACGGCCGGGUAAUACCGCAUACGAUCCUUUGGGGGAGUCCCUGGGGGAGGAAAGAUUUAUCGCUCUGUGAGGGUCUCGCGGCCUAUCAGCUAGUUGGUGGGGUAAUGGCCCACCAAGGCGACGACGGG
rnacentral:rRNA from 1 species